UAUAUUGACUGUGCUAAGGUAGCAUAAUAAUUUGCCUUUUAAUUGAAGGCUGGAAUGAAGGAUUUGAUGAGAAAUUAACUGUCUCAGCCUAGCUUAGGAAAUUAAUAUAGAGGUAAAAAAGCCUUUCUAACCUAAAGGGACGAUAAGACCCUAUAAAGCUUUAUUUACAGCUGUUAUUUACUUUAAGGCAGGAAUAAUUGAACUGUAAAUUUUACUGGGGCGGUAGAUAGAUAAACAUUAUUAAUUUUAACGCUAUGAGCGAAGUCAAACUAACGUUAAUUUAAAACUUAAUAACAAGUUACUUUAGGGAUAACAGCAUAAUUUUUUUCUAGAGCUCCUAUCGACAAAAAAGAUUAUGACCUCGAUGUUGAAUUAAGUUCCUUCCACUGAGCAACCCUAGUGGAUAGAA
rnacentral:rRNA from 1 species